rnacentral:rRNA from 1 species
AGAUUGAACGCUGGCGGCAUGCCUUACACAUGCAAGUCGAACGGCAGCACGGGAGCAAUCCUGGUGGCGAGUGGCGAACGGGUGAGUAAUACAUCGGAACGUGCCCAAUCGUGGGGGAUAACGCAGCGAAAGCUGUGCUAAUACCGCAUAAGAUCUACGGAUGAAAGCAGGGGAUCGCAAGACCUUGCGCGAAUGGAGCGGCCGAUGGCAGAUUAGGUAGUUGGUGAGGCAAAGGCUCACCAAGCCUUCGAUCUGUAGCUGGUCUGAGAGGACGACCAGCCACACUGGACUGAGACACGGCCCAGACUCCUACGGGAGGCAGCAGUGGGGAAUUUUGGACAAUGGGCGAAAGCCUGAUCCAGCCAUGCCGCGUGCAGGAUGAAGGCCGUUCGGUUGUAAACGUGUCUUUGUACGGUAACGAAAACGUACUUACUUUACUAAUAAACGUAAGGAGUACAAUAGACGGUAACCGUAAAGAAUAAAGACGAACCGACUAACUAACCG